rnacentral:rRNA from 1 species
ACUCCUACGGGAGGCAGCAGUGGGGAAUUUUGGACAAUGGGCGAAAGCCUGAUCCAGCCAUUCCGCGUGCAGGAUGAAGGCCCUCGGGUUGUAAACUGCUUUUGUACGGAACGAAACGCGUUGAGCUAAUACCUCGACGUAAUGACGGUACCGUAAGAAUAAGCACCGGCUAACUACGUGCCAGCAGCCGCGGUAAUACGUAGGGUGCGAGCGUUAAUCGGAAUUACUGGGCGUAAAGCGUGCGCAGGCGGUGAUGUAAGACAGGUGUGAAAUCCCCGGGCUUAACCUGGGAACUGCAUUUGUGACUGCAUCGCUGGAGUGCGGCAGAGGGGGAUGGAAUUCCGCGUGUAGCAGUGAAAUGCGUAGAUAUGCGGAGGAACACCGAUGGCGAAGGCAAUCCCCUGGGCCUGCACUGACGCUCAUGCACGAAAGCGUGGGGAGCAAACAGGAUUAGAUACCCUGGUAGUCCACGCCCUAAACGAUGUCAACUGGUUGUUGGGUCUUCACUGACUCAGUAACGAAGCUAACGCGUGAAGUUGACCGCCUGGGGAGUACGGUCGCAAGAUUAAAACUCAAAGGAAUUGACGG